UACGUAGGGUGCAAGCGUUAAUCGGAAUUACUGGGCGUAAAGCGUGCGCAGGCGGUUUUGUAAGUCUGUCGUGAAAGCCCCGGGCUCAACCUGGGAAUUGCGAUGGAGACUGCAAGGCUUGAAUCUGGCAGAGGGGGGGUAGAAUUCCACGUGUAGCAGUGAAAUGCGUAGAGAUGUGGAGGAACACCGAUGGCGAAGGCAGCCCCCUGGGCCAAUACUGACGCUCAUGCACGAAAGCGUGGGGAGCAAACAGG
rnacentral:rRNA from 1 species